UGCAACCCGACUCCACGAAGUUGGAUUCGCUAGUAAUCGCGGAUCAGCAUGCCGCGGUGAAUACGUUCCCGGGCCUUGUACACACCGCCCGUCACACCAUGGGAGUUUGUAACACCCGAAGUCAGUAUCCUAACCGCGAAGGGGGGGAGCUGCCGAAGGUGGGAUAAGCGACUGGGGUGAAGUCGUAACAAGGUAAC
rnacentral:rRNA from 1 species